UACGAAGGGGGCUAGCGUUGCUCGGAAUCACUGGGCGUAAAGCGCACGUAGGCGGAUUGUUAAGUCAGGGGUGAAAUCCUGGAGCUCAACUCCAGAACUGCCUUUGAUACUGGCAAUCUCGAGUUCGGGAGAGGUGAGUGGAACUGCGAGUGUAGAGGUGAAAUUCGUAGAUAUUCGCAAGAACACCAGUGGCGAAGGCGGCUCACUGGCUCGAUACUGACGCUGAGGUGCGAAAGCGUGGGGAGCAAACAGG
rnacentral:rRNA from 1 species